GCGGGAAAACACGCUUUCAGCGGACUUCUAAUCCGUGGGUCGCAGGUUCGAAUCCUGCCAGGCGCGCCA
rnacentral:tRNA from 1 species